rnacentral:rRNA from 1 species
UACGGGGGGGGCAAGCGUUGUUCGGAAUUACUGGGCGUAAAGGGCUCGUAGGCGGCCAACUAAGUCAGACGUGAAAUCCCUCGGCUUAACCGGGGAACUGCAUCUGAUACUGGAUGGCUUGAGUUCGGGAGAGGGAUGCGGAAUUCCAGGUGUAGCGGUGAAAUGCGUAGAUAUCUGGAGGAACACCGGUGGCGAAGGCGGCAUCCUGGACCAAUUCUGACACUGAGGAGCGAAAGCCAGGGGAGCAAACGGG